UGGCGGCGUGCUUAACACAUGCAAGUCGAACGAGGAUUUUUAUUCGGUAGAAUCCGAGUGGCAAACGGGUGAGUAACGCGUAGGCAACCUGCCUUUCUGAUGGGGACAACAGUUCGAAAGGACUGCUAAUACCGAAUGACGUAUAUUUCUCGCAUGAGAGACAUACCAAAGAUGGCCUCUGAAUAUGCUAUCACAGAAAGAUGGGCCUGCGUCUGAUUAGCUGGUUGGUGGGGUAACGGCCUACCAAGGCGACGAUCAGUAGCCGGUCUGAGAGGAUGAACGGCCACAUUGGGACUGAGACACGGCCCAGACUCCUACGGGAGGCAGCAGUGGGGAAUCUUCCACAAUGGACGAAAGUCUGAUGGAGCAACGCCGCGUGAGUGAAGAAGGUUUUCGAAUCGUAAAGCUCUGUUGUCAGGGACGAAUGUUGAGACCGAGAAUAUUGGUUUCAAAUGACGGUACCUGACGAGGAAGCCACGGCUAACUACGUG
rnacentral:rRNA from 1 species